UACGGAGGGUGCAAGCGUUAUCCGGAUUCACUGGGUUUAAAGGGAGCGUAGGUGGCCUUAUAAGUCAGUGGUGAAAUCCCUGGGCUUAACCCAGAAAAUUGCCAUUGAUACUGUAGGGCUUGAGUAUAGUUGCCGUUGGCGGAAUAUGACAUGUAGUGGUGAAAUACAUAGAGAUGUCAUAGAACACCGAUUGCGAAGGCAGCUGACGAAACUAUAACUGACACUGAGGCUCGAAAGUGCGGGGAUCAAACAGG
rnacentral:rRNA from 1 species